AAGGGCGUGGCCCAGGGAGCUGCCGAGUGCCUCAGUUAACACUGCUAGGGUGGGUCUCUCGGGGCGGGCCACGGCACCCAUCAGCUGCUCCUCUGAACCCCACCACCUGUUCCUAGAGACGGACACCAGAGCCCACGCGGAUGUGCCAGAAACUGGUGUCUGGGAUGGACUCGCCGGACGCACCACUGUUCUGCCCGCCCCUUAGCACCCGGAAGUUUCUAGCAGCUUGACCUCGCGCAUGCGCACUGCUUUUGAGCCGCGUGGAACGUUGGUGACACGCAGGUAGCCCUCUAAUUACCUCGUGAAGGACUCGCAUAUAUAUCCACCGGACAUCUGUUAUCCAGACCGCUGGGCGUGACCAGACCUCCUGACAUUCAUCUUCUGGACCACCUGGCAUCUGUCAGUCUGUUUGCGUGACAUCUGCCUGAUAACUGUCCUGGACCAAUCCUAGGGGGAAGAAUGCAGGACUGAUAAUUCUCAAGAAUAUAUUUUUUUACUAUUAGAACUUUUGACUUUUCUUCUUUGAAACGCUUCUGGGAUUUUGCCUAGCUGUGUUCCUGGUUUGCAAACUCCAAGACCUUUGAAUAAAUCUGUAUAAUUUA